rnacentral:rRNA from 1 species
AACGAACGCUGGCGGCAGGCCUAACACAUGCAAGUCGAGCGAGAUCUUCGGGUCUAGCGGCGGACGGGUGAGUAACGCGUGGGAAUAUGCCUCUUGGUACGGAAUAGCCUCGGGAAACUGGGAGUAAUACCGUAUGUGCCCUUUGGGGGAAAGAUUUAUCGCCAAGAGAUUAGCCCGCGUUGGAUUAGGUAGUUGGUGGGGUAAUGGCCUACCAAGCCGACGAUCCAUAGCUGGUUUGAGAGGAUGAUCAGCCACACUGGGACUGAGACACGGCCCAGACUCCUACGGGAGGCAGCAGUGGGGAAUCUUAGACAAUGGGGGCAACCCUGAUCUAGCCAUGCCGCGUGAGUGAUGAAGGCCUUAGGGUUGUAGCUCUUUCAGCUGGGAAGAUAAUGACGGUACCAGCAGAAGAAGCCCCGGCUAACUCCGUG